rnacentral:rRNA from 1 species
UACGUAGGGGGCAAGCGUUGUCCGGAAUCAUUGGGCGUAAAGCGCGUGUAGGCGGCCCGGUAAGUCCGCUGUGAAAGUCGGGGGCUCAACCCUCGAAUGCCGGUGGAUACUGUCGGGCUAGAGUGCGGAAGAGGCGAGUGGAAUUCCUGGUGUAGCGGUGAAAUGCGUAGAGAUCGGAAAGAACACCAACGGCGAAAGCACUCUGCUGGGCCGACACUGACACUGAGAGACGAAAGCUAGGGGAGCGAAUGGG